rnacentral:rRNA from 1 species
CCUACGGGAGGCAGCAGUGGGGAAUAUUGCACAAUGGGCGCAAGCCUGAUGCAGCGACGCCGCGUGAGGGAUGACGGCCUUCGGGUUGUAAACCUCUUUCAGUAGGGAAGAAGCGAAAGUGACGGUACCUGCAGAAGAAGCGCCGGCUAACUACGUGCCAGCAGCCGCGGUAAUACGUAGGGCGCAAGCGUUAUCCGGAAUUAUUGGGCGUAAAGAGCUCGUAGGCGGUUUGUCGCGUCUGCCGUGAAAGUCCGGGGCUCAACUCCGGAUCUGCGGUGGGUACGGGCAGACUAGAGUGAUGUAGGGGAGACUGGAAUUCCUGGUGUAGCGGUGAAAUGCGCAGAUAUCAGGAGGAACACCGAUGGCGAAGGCAGGUCUCUGGGCAUUAACUGACGCUGAGGAGCGAAAGCAUGGGGAGCGAACAGGAUUAGAUACCCUGGUAGUCCAUGCCGUAAACGUUGGGCACUAGGUGUGGGGGACAUUCCACGUUUUCCGCGCCGUAGCUAACGCAUUAAGUGCCCCGCCUGGGGAGUACGGCCGCAAGGCUAAAACUCAAAGGAAUUGACG